rnacentral:rRNA from 1 species
GGGUUUGUACUGUCCUGACUGGGUCUUACCUUCUGGUGAGCUGUCGUGUUGUUUACUCAGUGCGGCAGGGAACCAGGACUUUUACUUUGAAAAAAUUAGAGUGUUUAAAGCAGGCAUUCGCUUGAAUACAUUAGCAUGGAAUAAUAAAAUAGGACUUUGGUUCUAUUUUGUUGGUUUCUAGGACCGAAGUAAUGAUUAAUAGGGAUAGUUGGGGGCAUUAGUAUUUAAUUGUCAGAGGUGAAAUUCUUGGAUUUAUGAAAGACUAACUUCUGCGAAAGCAUUUGCCAAGGAUGUUUUCAUUAAUCAAGAACGAAAGUUAGGGGAUCGAAGACGAUCAGAUACCGCCCUAGUUCUGACCGUAAACGAUACCAUCUAGCGAUCCGAUAGGGUCUAUCUAGCCUUGUCGGGGAGCUUCCCGGAAACGAAAGUCUUUCGGUUCCGGGGGUAGUAUGGUUGCAAAGCUGAAACUUAAAGAAAUUGACGGAAGGGCACCACCAGGAGUGGAGCUUGCGGCUUAAUUUGACUCAACACGGGAAAACUCACCCGGCCCGGACACCGUAAGGAUUGACAGACUGAUAGCUCUUUCUUGAUUCGGUGGUUGGUGGUGCAUGGCCGUUCUUAGUUGGUGGAGUAAUUUGUCUGGUUUAUUCCGAUAACGAGCGAGACUCUAGCCUGCUAAAUAGAACGAGGAUAAACCUUUUCAUAGGUCCUCGAUGCUUCUUAGAGGAAUUAGCGG